GACGAACGCUGGCGGCGUGCUUAACACAUGCAAGUCGAACGGUGAAGCGCCUUCCUUUUUGGUGGGUGUGGAUGAGUGGCGAACGGGUGAGUAACACGUGAGUAACCUGCCCCCUUCUUCUGGAUAACCGCAUGAAAGUGUGGCUAAUACGGGAUAUUCUGGGUCUGUCGCAUGAUGGGUCUGGGAAAGAUAUUGUUUCGGUGGGAGAUGGGCUCGCGGCCUAUCAGCUUGUUGGUGGGGUGGUGGCCUACCAAGGCGGUGACGGGUAGCCGGCCUGAGAGGGUGGACGGUCACACUGGGACUGAGACACGGCCCAGACUCCUACGGGAGGCAGCAGUGGGGAAUAUUGCACAAUGGGCGCAAGCCUGAUGCAGCGACGCCGCGUGAGGGAUGGAGGCCUUCGGGUUGUGAACCUCUUUCGCCAGUGAAGCAGGCCUGCCUCGUUUGUGGGUGGGUUGACGGUAGCUGGAUAAGAAGCGCCGGCUAACUACGUG
rnacentral:rRNA from 1 species